rnacentral:rRNA from 1 species
AUUGAACGCUGGCGGCAGGCCAAACACAUGCAAGUCGAACGGUAGCACAGAGAGCUUGCUCUCGGGUGACGAGUGGCGGACGGGUGAGUAAUGUCUGGGAAACUGCCCGAUGGAGGGGGAUAACUACUGGAAACGGUAGCUAAUACCGCAUAACGUCGCAAGACCAAAGUGGGGGACCUUCGGGCCUCACACCAUCGGAUGUGCCCAGAUGGGAUUAGCUAGUAGGUGGGGUAAUGGCUCACCUAGGCGACGAUCCCUAGCUGGUCUGAGAGGAUGACCAGCCAAACUGGAAAUGAGACACGGUCCAGACUCCUACGGGAGGCAGCAGUGGGGAAUAUUGCACAAUGGGCGCAAGCCUGAUGCAGCCAUGCCGCGUGUAUGAAGAAGGCCUUCGGGUUGUAAAGUACUUUCAGCGGGGAGGAAGGCGGUGAAGUUAAUAACUUCACCGAUUGACGUUACCCGCAGAAGAAGCACCGGCUAACUCCGUGCCAGCAGCCGCGGUAA